AGAGUUUGAUCCUGGCUCAGAUUGAACGCUGGCGGCAGGCCUAACACAUGCAAGUCGAGCGGAUGAGUGGAGCUUGCUCCAUGAUUCAGCGGCGGACGGGUGAGUAAUGCCUAGGAAUCUGCCUGGUAGUGGGGGACAACGUUUCGAAAGGAACGCUAAUACCGCACACGUCCUACGGGAGAAAGUGGGGGAUCUUCGGACCUCACGCUAUCAGAUGAGCCUAGGUCGGAUUAGCUAGUUGGUGAGGUAAAGGCUCACCAAGGCGACGAUCCGUAACUGGUCUGAGAGGAUGAUCAGUCACACUGGAACUGAGACACGGUCCAGACUCCUACGGGAGGCAGCAGUGGGGAAUAUUGGACAAUGGGCGAAAGCCUGAUCCAGCCAUGCCGCGUGUGUG
rnacentral:rRNA from 1 species